rnacentral:rRNA from 1 species
UGCCAGCCGCCGCGGUAAUACGGAGGGGGCUAGCGUUGUUCGGAAUUACUGGGCGUAAAGCGCGCGUAGGCGGAUUGGUCAGUCAGAGGUGAAAUCCCGAAGCUCAACUUCGGAACUGCCUUUGAUACUGCCGAUCUAGAGUCCGGGAGAGGUGAGUGGAAUUCCUAGUGUAGAGGUGAAAUUCGUAGAUAUUAGGAAGAACACCAGUGGCGAAGGCGACUCACUGGCUCGAUACUGACGCUGAGGUGCGAAAGCGUGGGGAGCAAACAAGAUUAGAUA